rnacentral:rRNA from 1 species
AAUGGUAACAGGAAACAGCCUGCUGUUUCGCUGACGAGUGGCGGACGGGUGAGUAAUGUCUGGGAAACUGCCUGAUGGAGGGGGAUAACUACUGGAAACGGUGGCUAAUACCGCAUAACGUCGCAAGACCAAAGAGGGGGACCUUCGGGCCUCUUGCCAUCAGAUGUGCCCAGAUGGGAUUAGCUAGUAGGUGGGGUAACGGCUCACCUAGGCGACGAUCCCUAGCUGGUCUGAGAGGAUGACCAGCCACACUGGAACUGAGACACGGUCCAGACUCCUACGGGAGGCAGCAGUGGGGAAUAUUGCACAAUGGGCGCAAGCCUGAUGCAGCCAUGCCGCGUGUAUGAAGAAGGCCUUCGGGUUGUAAAGUACUUUCAGCGGGGAGGAAGGGAGUAAAGUUAAUACCUUUGCUCAUUGACGUUACCCGCAGAAGAAGCACCGGCUAACUCCGUGCCAGCAGCCGCGGUAAUACGGAGGGUGCAAGCGUUAAUCGGAAUUACUGGGCGUAAAGCGCACGCAGGCGGUUUGUUAAGUCAGAUGUGAAAUCCCCGGGCUCAACCUGGGAACUGCAUCUGAUACUGGCAAGCUUGAGUCUCGUAGAGGGGGGUAGAAUUCCAGGUGUAGCGGUGAAAUGCGUAGAGAUCUGGAGGAAUACCGGUGGCGAAGGCGGCCCCCUGGACGAAGACUGACGCUCAGGUGCGAAAGCGUGGGGAGCAAACAGG